rnacentral:antisense_RNA from 1 species
GCGGCCGCGCGGGUGUGGGCCGGGAGAAGGAGGCGGCUCGGCUGGAGCGCGCCGUCCGCCCGACCCCCGCCGCCUCUCGGGCGCCUGCGCUCACGCUGCGGGGCCCGGCGCAUUGUGAGCCGGGUCGAGCUCCACGCUGGCAGCGUCUGAGAGCUGUCCUGGGCCGGAGGUGGCGCGAACCCUGUGCGGCCUAGAGUGGGCCUGGGGAAGCCAGCUGCCAUGUUCUGAGUACUCUCUGGAAGGGCCUGCAUGGCAAGGAACUGAUGUUUCCAGCCAGCAGCCAGCAAGAACUGCAAGCCUUGUGAAUGAGCUUGGAAGCAGAUCCUCCCCUCACUCAAGCCAUGAUAUGACAACAGCCUGAGACCCAGAGGACACAAACCACUGUCAAAAAAGGUCUUCCUGAGUUCUGAAGGUCAAGCAAUUAGAAUUUUCUCAGGCUUGUAGAAGAGUGGAAUUCUGGAAACCAGUCUUUGCCUCAGGGGAGCAUCUGUUGGAAGUUCUUAGGGAUGCUCAGGCAUAUGGCCUCAGAAACAUGGGCUAUUGAGACAG